GAUAUAAUGAAACAACGUUGUAGCGAGGAAAGCAUUUAGGGGAGCCCAGGGCUACAUACAGAGUGACUGGGAAGUGGGCAGAGAGAAAAGGAAACUACGGGGUAUUCUUCAGCAUACAGGAGCCCAGCUCCAUCCAGCAGUGAGAGCGGACUUGGAAAAGAGAGGAGGGGGCCCUCUGUUCCCCUCCCACCCCUCUCGGGCCAGGAGGAAGAAGAACUUUUAAUCAGCACAGCUGGGAUUGCACCUGUCUCUAGAGUCCCCACCAUCCAAAGAAAGAGGAAAUUAUAUGAAAGAACAGAUCUGGAAACUACCUGUUGUUUUUUUUUAUUUUAUUUUUCUUCCACUUUGCUGGGGCGGGGGGUCGCGGUGCGGGGAAGGCGAGAAAGCUUAGCCAGCACAUGGAUCAUCUUAAGAGUCUCCUCUCAUGGGGCUUCACAGUGAAGAAGGAACUGAGGCUGGAUUGUCUGUGCAGCUCUGUAUAUCCUCUGUAUGGCAUGAGGAGGUCCAGACACACGUGGGGGCUGAAUGGGCACUACUACCAAAAAACUCCUGGAGCACGUGUGCCCCUGGAGUGAAGCACCCUAUAGGGACAAAUAUCCCAAUGAAUGGCAGUUACUGUACAAGAAAGAAAACUGAGACUGAGACACACUGAAACAGCGUAAUCAGAGAAUUGAAACAUCAGACUGUGAGCUAAGACAACUGGAAGCAGCGGGCAUUGUGAAAAAGGCGGAUUUUCCUGAAUGUAUCUUUAAUUAUUCAGAAGACAUAUGUGAUCAUGUGAAUGUGGCUAGCAGAAGAGAGGUGGAUCUAGUGCAUGUUGCAUUCUGGAUUUGUUUUGUGCCUGCGAGGAGUUGAAUUCCUGAGCACUGGAGAAGAUCUAACCAUAUUUGCACUGGCUCUGCUCAUGACAGUACAGUGGGGCAGGUAAGUACCAAGAAGGAACUGGGAGGCUCUAACUUUUCCAAGGCUCAGGAUCAUGCAAUGAAGAAGAAUAUUUUAGAAGCUAAAACGAGAGGUCAGAAUACCCUGGUCAGAAGGUACCAACCUUGUGAGAAUAUCCUGAGUGUGCCAGAAGGAGAGCAUAUUGCAUGGAGUGGGGGGACCUGUCUACAAAUUGCUAUGAACUGAAAGGGUCUCUACUUUCCUGAUUAGGCUUCAGAAAACAUGACCCAGAGUAAAUCCAAGUCGGCUUGUCUCUCAAGAGGACGCUUGUUAGUGCCAAAUGAUACCCUCUGCUUACACAGGAAUACUUCUACCAGGUUAUAUGGGGAUGGGAGCCAAUCUACAGGCAAGGGUCAGCUGUGCCAGUGACCCAUGCCUCAGACAAGUCCUCUGAGAUCCAUGGGUUGUGUGCCAAACCAGCUACUUCAUUCACAGUCGGAUGUGCAGACUCCAUAUAUCCCCAGUUGAAAGAGCAAUGGCAAACUCUCCGACUUAUCAGUAACCAGUGUGAAUUAUUCAUGGGUUGGGGACCCUGAGAUAUAAAGAGGAGCAGUAAACAUAUUCAAGACACAAAGGUAAUAGCUAAAAUUGUUGCAUUCUGUAUGUGACCACUGGGGGAAAAGAGGAUUAUGAACCUGCAUUUCAACUCACACCACAAACAAGAAUAAAAGCUCAAUCAGCUUUAGAUGCUUUCUGAAUGCUGAGAUUGAGCCUUGAUAUCUGUAAUGAAUUGUUCCAGAAGCAUACAGAGAAAGUUGUACACACUGGAGACUAAUUUUCAUUUGUGCUGCGUACUCGCAGUUCCUUUUGAUGUCAGUUUGAGUAAUAUUUUGAAUAAUUAGCAGCUCUUACAAUCAGGCCUUUUGGGUUAAAUAUUCUGAGACUUUUUUGCAGACCUGAAAUCCAUAUACGCUGUGUUUACAUAACAGGUAAAUUGGAAAUUUGAUUAAGGGAAAACCUCGGCCCAUAAUGUAGGGCUGUUUUUUGGAAACAAGGUUUUGCUGGUUCCUAAACGUUUCUCAGAUUCCUUAAGUGAUCACUGCUUUGUACACUUACAUGUAGGACAUGAGAGGCAAGGAGAUGGUAUGAGUCUAGAAAUUUUUAACAUGGUUUGUCAUAUCUUUCUAAUCCCCAGAAAUGACUUUUAGCUUUAUUACCAAAACAUGUUUUUCUUUCUGACUAUUCAUAUAGACCCAAACCCUGAUCUCCUGCUGCAAGCUGUGGAGAUCUUGAUUGCUUCUUGCUGUUUACCCUAAUUAACUUACGUAACCACCUGUAAAAUAGUAGAAUUGUUCAAGUAGCAAAAACAAAGGAAAGUCUUAGGACCCAACCCCGGAAGUUUUGCUUUAAGUUAGGACUAAGUAAAACCUGAGUAGUGAAACCCUGAUUUGGCUCAUUGGCUUUCAUCGAAGUUGAAGAUGCUCUGUUCAUUGUGAAAUGAAACUCUCAUCCUUACUCUAGUUUCAUUCCCAGUGACUUGCCUGAGGAGUGGCUGUAGAAUUUGGCCCUGAAUGUGUGAAAUUGUUUCACCUGCCACUGUAAAUUUUAUUGCCAUGAUUUAUUUCUGUACUUAUUUUAAAGAAAGACUAAGCUUUGUCUCAGUUUUCUCAGACAUACCUCACCAGCAACAGAUACGUCAUCUUGGUGAGAGGUGAGGUGACUGUGUGGCUGCCUCACCCCAUGAAUCAUAAAAGUCUUGCCCCCACAUUAAGAAUAGAAUGUUCCCCUGUAAAUGCUCAGCAAAUGAAAAAUACUGCCUCACACUUGUUUUCUGACUGGAGGAGAAAUAAUAACAGUUCACACAGUUGGUGAACUUUCUUAUUAGUCAGAGGGUAUUAAGCAAGUGGUGGUGAAAGUGAUGGGAAUGGAUGGCUCAGGGAACUGAUAAAGGUAUAUGGAACCUUUUUAUCUCUAGUGGUUUGAAUCCAGACCAAAUACGAAGUUACUGAGAAUUGUUAGUGUCAGAAGGUUUUUGUGAAAUGACUCCAUGGUCUCAGUUUGUGUCAUAGUGGACAGAUUGACAUCACAGAACAAACACUCCAGUUAGCAUUAAUUGAUAUCUCAGUGGAGGGUCAUGUUCACGAUGGCCCCGGAGACUGAGGCCUUGUCUGCACUUACUGGAGCGUCCAUGAGUGGUGUUCGAUGCAUCAGCAGUGGAUUUAGCUUGUCUAGUGAAGACUCACUACAUCGAUUGCAGAUCUCUCUCUCCCGACGACUCCUGUACUCUACCAGAUCGAGAAGAGUAGGUGGAGUCAGCAGGAGGGCGUCUCUCAGGAUUGCAUAGCGUGGACCCCGCAGUAAGUAGAUCUAAGCGAUGUCAAUUUUAGUUACGCAAUUCAUGUAACUCAAAUUGCAUAGCUUAGAUUGAAUUUCCACUGUAGCGUAGACAAUGCCUAAGAGCAUAGGGAUUCUGCCUGCAGGUCAAGGAUAAGAUAUACUGGUGGGGCAUUGCGUGGAAAACUCAUGCUACCACUUCCUAUGUUGUAUCUGUUCUGUUAAUAGAGGACUUCUCCAGGGAAUCUGACAUCUUUAACCAGUUCCACAUUUCAAACAAAAUUGAAGUUAAAAAAAAAAAAAAAAAAGUAAAAUAAUUUGAACAAUUUGUCUGACAUGAAGUAUUUACAGGCUAUUGUCUGAAAAUUAUAGGCUGACCUGUUCUUUCACAGUCUCAUGGGUGGAUCCACUAAAGCUGUCAUACGUAAAGCUCCAGCAAAGUACAUUUACACAUCUCCUAUUAGGGAAGUGUAUGAAAAGGAAGUAAUAAAACUCAUUUUUUAGGAAUUUCCAAUACGGAAAUAUUACUCCUUUUGGAAAAGUUUUCCAACUCACUACCAGUGAAAGUUCUCUGUGAUUAAUCUUGGAGUCACAUUUUAUAAUGCACACAAUUGUUGCUUGCAUUAGCAAAAUAAAAUGUGACCCAUCAGUUUAUUUUUGAACUUUUUACCACAGGCAUUCUUUUACAAGAGGUAGAAGGAAUGCCUCACUAUAGAGACCUUGAAUGCUUCUGACUGGCUAGUCAUUUAUCUAAUCACAUGUAAAUUAGUGGAAUAGUUCAGCAA